rnacentral:rRNA from 1 species
UGGCGAACGGGUGAGUAACACGUGGGGUGAUCUGCCCUGCACUUCGGGAUAAGCUUGGGAAACUGGGUCUAAUACCGGAUAGGAGCCAUCUUUAGUGUGGUGGUUGGAAAGUUUUUUCGGUGUAGGAUGAGCUCGCGGCCUAUCAGCUUGUUGGUGGGGUAAUGGCCUACCAAGGCGGCGACGGGUAGCCGGCCUGAGAGGGUGUACGGCCACAUUGGGACUGAGAUACGGCCCAG